rnacentral:rRNA from 1 species
ACUACCUACGGGGGGCAGCAGUGAGGAAUAUUGGUCAAUGGGCGGGAGCCUGAACCAGCCAAGUCGCGUGAGGGAAGACGGUCCUACGGAUUGUAAACCUCUUUUGCCGGGGAGCAACGGGGUCCCUGCGAGGGCCCGAUGAGAGUACCCGGAGAAAAAGCAUCGGCUAACUCCGUGCCAGCAGCCGCGGUAAUACGGAGGAUGCGAGCGUUAUCCGGAUUUAUUGGGUUUAAAGGGUGCGCAGGCGGCGAGUUAAGUCAGCGGUAAAAUUUCGGGGCUCAACCCCGACAAGCCGUUGAAACUGG